rnacentral:rRNA from 1 species
CCUACGGGAGGCAGCAGUGAGGAAUAUUGGUCAAUGGCCGAGAGGCUGAACCAGCCAAGUCGCGUGAGGGAAGACGGCCCUACGGGUUGUAAACCUCUUUUGUCGGGGAGCAAAGCGCUUCACGUGUGGCUCAUUGCGAGUACCCGAAGAAAAAGCAUCGGCUAACUCCGUGCCAGCAGCCGCGGUAAUACGGAGGAUGCGAGCGUUAUCCGGAUUUAUUGGGUUUAAAGGGUGCGCAGGCGGAGGUGCAAGUCAGCGGUAAAAUUGCGGGGCUCAACCCCGUCCUGCCGUUGAAACUGGAUGCCUUGAGUGCGCGAGAAGUAUGCGGAAUGCGUGGUGUAGCGGUGAAAUGCAUAGAUAUCACGCAGAACUCCGAUUGCGAAGGCAGCAUACCGGCGCGCAACUGACGCUCAUGCACGAAAGCGUGGGUAUCGAACAGGAUUAGAUACCCCAGUAGUC